rnacentral:rRNA from 1 species
UACGUUCCCGGGCCUUGUACACACCGCCCGUCACACCACGAAAGCGAGUAACACCCGAAGCCGGUGGCCUAACCGCAAGGAGGGAGCCGUCGAAGGUGGGACCCGUGAUUGGGGUGAAGUCGUAACAAGGUACCC